GGCAGUGGUAGCUCAGUGGUUAAACUGCUGGCCUACUACUCAGAAGGGUGUGAGUUCAAAUCCCAAUACUGCCA